UGUGUGUGCAACAGCAUGAACCCCCUCACCAGAACAGCUUUCCAUAGAGAGACUUAUUAUGAAACUCAUUCAUAUGUGUGUGUGUGUGUGUGUGUAGUGCUAUGUAGUAAAACUAAAAUGUUCCAAUGUUUGUGUAUUUGAACAGCUCCCUGAAGUAAAACUACAGAGUGAGAGUACACAUGAGAGUGCGUUUGGUGUGUGUGUGUGUUCUCACCUGCUCUGAAGAGUGCUCCUGCUGCGUAGUGCAUGUGUGAGUGUGUGUAUUUGUAGGUGUGUGUGUGUGUUCUCACCUGCUUUAAAGAGUGCUCCUGCUGCGUAGUGCAUGUGUGUGUGUGUGUUUGUAGGUGUGUGUGUUCUCACCUACUCUAAAGAGUACUCCUGUUGCGUAGUGCAGUGGUUCUCAACCUUUUUUCAGUGAUGUACCCCCUGUGAAAUAUUUUUUCAGCCAAGUACCCCCUAACCAGCGCAGAGCAUUUUUUAUUGAAAAAAAGAUGUAAUAUACAGCGCUAUACCAUCAUUGUCUGAUUUAUUAAACUAUCAACACUGAACAUUGAACAUUGUUGCAUUGAACUGAGUUUUAGUGAGAAACUUGUGCUUGUGCUUCACUGAGAAGCUUUGUCAGUCUUGGUGGCAGGGCGGCAACUGCUGUGAUCAAGCUCUUCUCCAGGCACAGUCUGUUUCUCUGCUUUGUUUUGAUCAGUCAUUGCAGAGAAGGAGGCCUCACAUAAAUAUGUGGAGGCAAAGAUUAGUAGCUGCUCCAAAGCUUUCUGUCCUAGGUCAGGGUGCUCCUGCUUCACAGACACCCAAAACUGUGUGAGUGUGGAUGUGGCAAACUUCAUCUGGAGGCCACGGUCAGAUGACACUUCCAGGAGUGUUUCCUGAUUAGUGACAGGUAGCUUGCUUCCGUUUGUUUUCGGAAAAGUGAAAUGGGUUUCUCACCCAAUCCAGCUGUUUAGAUUUCUCCUCCAUGUCAGGAAAGUAGGAAUGGAAAUUUUCAAUCAAGUUAGUCAAAUGUCCCACGAUGAGCAACUUGACUGAAGCUCUGUCCACAUCCUCACUACAGAGAAAAUCAUCCACCUGAGGAAAGCAGGCGAAAUCCCCCUGUGCAGAGGCUCUUCUCCAAAGCUCUGCUUUCUUCAGGAAGCCACCCACCUUGUCAUACAGUUUUAAAAUGCUGGUGUCUUUUCCCUGCAGAGACAUAUUCAGUUCGUACAGUUUGCUGAAUAUAUCUGCCAGAUAGCACAUCUUUGCAAGCCAGUCUGUGUCCUGGAACAAGGUGGCAUGGGGAGAUCUGUGCUCAAUCAGAAAUGUGUGUACUUCAGAUAGUAAUUCCAACAAUUCCAUUCCAACGAUCAAUACACAUGGCUGGCACACACACACACGAGAGCAAUAGUAAUAUCAAUUUAUAUCAGCGCAAACGCUCACAGGCACACCCACACGCACGAACCUAGGCCUACUGAAAUAAAUACAAAUAUCCCGCUUAUUAUACGGUUACUUGCCAAAACCAUAGAAGACAUUCCUCCAAAAUACCUCUUUUUAAUGAUUUUGUUGCCAUUUCGUGAUUUCCGCUAAGAAAAAAUAGUUCUUCGCGCAAAUGCAUAGCAACCCACCUUCUGACUUAAACUUUCAAUUACUUUCCGUUACGUUAAAUUACCAGGACUACUUGCGGAUUGAUAUGAAAGAUGCGAAUUAGAAGCACAAAACCCAUUGCCAAUGACAGCGGUCAUAAACUUUUCGCAGCGGUGAAUAUCAAGAAAUGACAGACCUACGAACGCAGACAUUUAACCCACAUAUGGCCCAUACAAAUCAACGGAACUUUUUGGAACAUUCUGAAGAGCCGUAUAAUAACUAUUUUUAAAGGAUUUUUGAAUGGAUGCUUAUUUUAAAUAUAUCUUUAAAAAAUCCCACGUACCCCCUGGACUGCCUUCACGUACCCCCAGGGGUACGCGUACCCCCGGUUGAGAACCACUGGCGUAGUGCAUGUUUGUGUGUGUGUGUGUGUGUGUGUGUGUGUGUGUUCUCACCUGCUCUGAAGAGAGCUCCUGAGGUGUAGUGCAUGUGUGUGUGUGUGUGUGUUUGUAGGUGUGUGUGUGUUUGUUUGUAGGUGUGUGUAGUGCAUUUGUGUUUGUAGGUGUGUGUGUGUGUUCUCACCUGCUCUGAAGAGAGCUCCUGAGGCGUAGUGCAUGGCGAGCGCGUGCACCAGCUGUCGUGCGGUGGUGCAGACGGGGCCGCGCUCAAACAGGGAGAAGGAGAGCGGCGUGUGGUCCGACGCGAUGUACAGCUUCAGGGACGCGUGGAUGCUCACCAGCAGGCUGACCGGCUGGAUGGUCAGUCUCUGCAGCCUCAGGGGCCACACCAGCGCCUGGGUGGCCUGGACCACGUCCUCCGGCAGGCCGGCGGUGGUGGUGGACGAGGACGAAGACGAGGACGGGGACCCACUGCUCCCGCUCCUGAAGGCGGACUCGGGCAGAUAGGAGUGGAAGAGGGUCUUGACGUAGUAGACGAAGGUGUCCUCCAGGUAGACGCGCGCGGGCUGCAGCUGGAAGGCCACCGUCUCCAGGCUGAGGUCGGGGCCCAGAGCCAUCGCCAGACGCAGGAAGCAGGAGCUGCGGUACGCCUGCAGCGCGUGGGGGGAGAGGAGGGGGUUGGCCUCCGAGCUCCAGGGGGCGCCAGAGGACGUGGAGGAGGAGGAAGAGGGAGAGGAGGAAGAGGAGGAUUGAGGCUCGGCGGUGCGGGGGUCUUGGCACAGCAGCACGGGGAAGUGGAAGCUGGAGCGGGUGUAGAGCUGGUUGUCCAGCUGC
ensembl:lncRNA